rnacentral:rRNA from 1 species
CUUCCGUAGGGUGAACCUGCGGAAGGAUCAUUACCGAGUGCGGGCCUCGCGGCCCAACCUCCCACCCUUGUCUCUAUACACCUGUUGCUUUGGCGGGCCCACCGGGGCCACCUGGUCGCCGGGGGACGCACGUCCCCGGGCCCGCGCCCGCCGAAGCGCUCUGUGAACCCUGAUGAAGAUGGGCUGUCUGAGUACUAUGAAAAUUGUCAAAACUUUCAACAAUGGAUCUCUUGGUUCCGGCAUCGAUGAAGAACGCAGCGAAAUGCGAUAAGUAAUGUGAAUUGCAGAAUUCCGUGAAUCAUCGAAUCUUUGAACGCACAUUGCGCCCCCUGGCAUUCCGGGGGGCAUGCCUGUCCGAGCGUCAUUUCUGCCCUCAAGCACGGCUUGUGUGUUGGGUGUGGUCCCCCCGGGGACCUGCCCGAAAGGCAGCGGCGACGUCCGUCUGGUCCUCGAGCGUAUGGGGCUCUGUCACUCGCUCGGGAAGGACCUGCGGGGGUUGGUCACCACCAUAUUUUACCACGGUUGACCUCGGAUCAGGUAGGAG